CCCAGAGCCAGUGUCCCAACCCUACCACUCAUCCUCUUGAAGACGGAGAACCAGACACCUCAGCUCCUCUGGGCCUUCACUCCUUUGCUGGCCUCCAUUGCCUUUGAACUGGGAGGAGAAGAGAGUUGGUGCUCACUAAUUGCUAAGGUUCUUUCAAACUCUGCAUUUGUUCCCUGGAGCCCAAAUCCUCCUCUGUCCCAUCUCACAACUUAGGGGAGACCAGGAAAGAGGAAGGUGGGCUCCUGGAGAUGAAUGGGGUGGCUGGCUAGCAGCUGAGGAUGGUUGCAAGUGGGGACAGGUGACGGGACUCCCCAAGUGUCAGGGACAGCAAAGGUCCAAAUUGCACUUGCAACUGCUCCUUACGAGAAUGGGAAGAAAUGGAGGCUGUGGCACUGACGGAAGUCUGCUCAGAAUUCCAGCGUCUCGUGUCCCACAUCCGUUAUUCAGCCCUUUGUUUUCAUUCAGUCACCUGUCUACACCACCAACACUCCAGGGGCCGCUAUUAUGUGGCCAACACUGUCCCAAGUAUUGAGAAUAUAGUCCUGCAUAUAUUCACAGCCUCGUGGGAAUUGACAAAAAACACGAACAGAUGUUUCCCAAACAGCCUGAGAAGUGCUGGGACAGCAGCUCCGGUGCCAUUCCAGGAACACUGCCUCUCCUCAGGAGGAUGCUAGCAUGAGGCUCCCCUCUGGACUUGGACACAUCAAGGGAAGAGCUGGGCUGAGUCUCCAGAGGCAAAAGUUCUGGAAGAGUCUUCUUCCCACUAAUCUCCAGAGUGCUCCAGGGCCAGGGCAUGAAGGAGAAGCUAUCGGCAGGCUUGUGGUGAUGGCAGCAGUCUGCUGACCUUGGACUUGUUCUUACUACUUCAUUCAGCCCAGAGUCCAAGCCAGGCCAAUCUUCAUCUACGUGGGGCCAAGAUGUAGCAUCGGGUAUCCAGAGAAGUCCAGAACUCCCUUAGCCUAUACUGGGACAAGGCUGAGCCUGAGUCUUGCUGGCCAGUUUGUGUAGGGUGACCCCUCAUUUGUGUGCAGGGGAGACCCAGAGCCAGCAGUUCCCAUCACACAGGGCCUAUAAGGGAGAGGUUUGGGGUUUGCCACUAUGGCUGCUGCUGGUAGGGACUGGUGGUGUUUGUGGCUCUGGCUUUGAAAUGUGUGGUCAUCUUGAGGUCUUCUUCUCCCCGAACUGACUACUGCCUCCUUGGUCAUCAAGGAUUAACCACCUUACUCACCCCUAUUUACACACCAAGUGCAAACCCUCUUCUCGUGGAUGCUUACACACCUACUUGAACACAACCAGCAACCCUUUGGCCAGCCAGCUCUUUUCCAGUGUAAACUCCACAGGUCAGGUCAUUCCAUACAGUGGACAGUGACCAGGACACGCACUCUCAGGGUCAAAGUGGACCUGGGCUAGAGUCCCAGCUUUGCCAGAUAUAUUUCAGCGUGACAUUCACUAUACACCUUUCCCAAUAAAUUAGCAAAUGUGCUUACUGCAGAGAUUUGUGGUACUAAGUGAGACAGUCUUAAAAAAUAAGCAGACAAAAAAGCCUCCAGUUUAGCUCCUUUCUCCUUCUGUCUUAGGUCAGAGAUCUAGACAACAGACUCUUAAGAGAUUUGUAUGCAUUCAUUGGGGUGAUCUAGGGAUGAACCCCUGUAGGGGAGUAGAGGGAGCAAGCUGGAGGUAAGGGAGAUGUGGGACUACUGUACCUUUGCAACCAAGACCAGAGCCAGUCUCAUUUGGAGUUCUGGGUUAGGGUGGCCCUUCAGAGAUGUCUCACACUAAGACAAUGGACUAGGCCUUUGUUCCCACAUCAGCCUGUCACUUGAUACAAGCAGUCCCCCCUAACUCAAAAGGGGCAUAACCUUGAGCAGUGUAACUCCCCCCAACAGAGGGCCACUCUGAGGGUGGCUCUGAGGGCUCUGAGGCUUGGGCCUUCUCAGCCACUGCUGCAUAGCCAGGGCAUUAAGUGGCUCUACCGUAAGUGAGGGGCUGGGCCACACACCCUGGCACCCACCACAACCUUUCAACUCUCCCUCGAUGCCAAACCCAAUAGCAGUUUCCAGGAAGUGUGCUGAAGUUACAUUAGCAGAGAGACCGAAUGGGAAUGAAGAGGCUGAUGUUCCUGUUGAGGCCAAACUGUUAACCUACGUGGGUCGAUUUGGACACAUCUUUUCAUUUCUUAUGCUUUUAGCUUUCUUGGUUUUGUUUGUUUGAGAUACUGGGGAUUGAACCCAGGGCCUUGCACAUGCUAGGGAAACCCUCUACUUGAGCUGUAUCCCAAACCCUCUUUGAGGCAGGCUGGCCCUGAACUUGCCACCUUCCUGCUUCCUGCUUGGGCUGGAACUACAGGUGGGUGCCAUUGUGUCAGCUUCAUUAUAAAAUACAGUAAAACCAGAGCAUAAUUUGUUCCAGAAGCAUGCUUGUAAUUCAAAGCCGUUGUGUAUCAAAGUGAAUUUCCCCUCGAGAAAUAAUGGAAACUCGGGUAUUCCACAACUCAAUAAUAUUCAUAUAAAAAUAAUGACCAUACUGUAAUAUAAUACAAAAUAAUGAAGAAAAUACAAAAUAUAAGGAAAAAUAAAUGAACUGACCUGCACUUACUUUUGCAAGCCUUCAAGUCUGGUGUAAGAGAGACAAGAGAAAGGGAGGUUAUUAAAAGGACUUUCACUAUCACUAAUGGAAUUACUGCUAUCUUUUGGCUCAAUGGAAUCUUUUUCUUUUCGUGCAAUUUUUUUUUUUUUUUUUUGAGACUGGGUCUCACUGUGUAGUGGAGACUGACCUGGAACUCAUGUAGCCCAGGCUGGUCUCGAACUCACAGCUAUCCUCCUGGCUCAGCCUCCCGAGUUCUGGGAUUACAGGCGUGUGCCACCACACCCGGCUUCAUGCAACUUUAAAAGAAUCUAUCCAGU
ensembl:lincRNA